rnacentral:rRNA from 1 species
UGGGGAAUAUUGGGCAAUGGGGGAAACCCUGACCCAGCAACGCCGCGUGAGGGAAGAAGGCUUUCGGGUUGUAAACCUCUGUCCUUGGGGACGAAGAAAGUGACGGUACCCAAGGAGGAAGCUCCGGCUAACUACGUGCCAGCAGCCGCGGUAAUACGUAGGGAGCAAGCGUUGUCCGGAAUUACUGGGCGUAAAGGGUGCGUAGGCGGCCAAAUAAGUCAGAUGUGAAAUACCCGUGCUUAACAUGGGGGGUGCAUCUGAAACUGUUUGGCUUGAGUGCAGGAGAGGAAAGCGGAAUUCCUAGUGUAGCGGUGAAAUGCGUAGAUAUUAGGAGGAACACCAGUGGCGAAGGCGGCUUUCUGGACUGUAACUGACGCUGAGGCACGAAAGCGUGGGGAGCAAACAGG